rnacentral:rRNA from 1 species
UCAUUAGUUUUUUAAUUGAAAGCUAGAAUGAAUGGUUAAAUGAAAAAAUUUCUGUCUUAAAUUAAAAUUAAAAUUUUAUUUUUAAGUUAAAAAGCUUAAAUAAGUUUAAAAGACGAGAAGACCCUAUAGAGUUUAAUUUAUUUUAAUGAUUAAUAUUUAAGAAUAAUAUUUUUAUUAAAAAUUUGAUUGGGGUGAUUAAAAAAUUUAUUAAACUUUUUUUAUAUUUUAACAUAAAUUUAUGAAAAUUUGAUCCAUUAUAAUGAUUAAAAGAAUAAAUUACCUUAGGGAUAACAGCGUAAUUUUUUUGUGAAGUUCUUAUCGUAAAAAAAGAUUGCGACCUCGAUGUUGGAUUAAAAUUAAUUUUUGGUGAAGAAGCUAAAU